AAAUUUAGUAGCGAAGUAGCUGAUUUCACACUGUCAAGAAAAGUCUCUAUCGAGGUUAAAGGUACCCGUACCGCAAACCGACACAGGUGGGUGAGGAGAGUAUCCUAGGGCCAGCGAGAGAACUGUUGUUAAGGAACUCGGCAAAAUGACCCCGUAACUUAGGGAUAAGGGGUGCCACCAUCAGGUGGCCGCAGAGAAUAGGCCCAAGCG
rnacentral:rRNA from 1 species